AGGAGUCAGUGACAUUUUCUAACUGUGAUUAUUUAUCCGAUUAACAGAAAUCACACUACACAAGAGAUUCUUGGAACUCUCUCGGUUUGCUCUUGGACAAAAGCUAUGUAGAAGACUUCCACAUAUGCAGAAAAAGAGAGGGCUCUCACCAAAUGCAGCUGAAAUACAGAGCUAAUGACUGAGGAAUCUACGAUGAGAUCUCCCUCCUAGAGGGACAUCCUGGCAAGUGCUCAUUUCUGCAGGCAGAGGACAAGAAACAAUUUGUACAUUCCAAGGGUCCCCAAUUGAAAACACGAGGAUGGUCUCUUGAGAAGUUUUAAUACUAAAUGUGAAGGUGCUGGCUGGUAAGUGCUGUAUCUACCUAUGGCGGUUUCCAGACUCCUGGUAGGAGCUAGAGUCAGCAGAGAAUCACACCGAUGAGCGACG